GAUCAAUGCAAAACUGUUGCAAGAUUGUCUCAAUCAGAAGAGCAUUUAUGAACCACUGCGUGUCAGCAUACAGAAGCGAUUUUCCUAGGCAAUAUGUGAAGGUUCUUUCAGAAAUGAGUCAUUCAUGUAAGCAACACCAGCAAGCUGCCAUGAAGACUUGCCAGUAUUAGUGAAUCUUCUCUGAGAAUCAAAAGAUUGCAGUAUAAGUUCCUGUGGGGAAUGGCCAUA